AGGUGAACAUGAUGAAAAAAGGAUGAGUGAUCAUCAAACAUUACAUAACGUGUUUGAUAUGAUCAAAUUCUCCAUCGCUACGUUCUUUCUGAUUCACCU
rfam:Vigna angularis cultivar Jingnong 6 scaffold143_19, whole genome shotgun sequence.